AACCCAGAGGAAGAUAAACCGAGGAGGCAGACUUCGGGGGGCCUGCUGAGAGAUGCCAGGCAGAGGGCUUCUUUCUGUCAAAUAGGAUAUUUUCCUGCCUCGUGGACAAGGGCAUUGUGAGGACUGAGUCAGAUGACAGAAUGUGACCCAAUAACUGGAUGAUGGUGUCUGGCUGCUCCAGAGGGAGAGACAAAGGAGGAGAUGGCAGGCUCCAAGCUGCACCCACCCAGGCAUCUAGAUAAGGGCCUUGGUUGAAAUGGGCUGCUGCCUUUUCCAGGAGAGCUCACUCCUUUCCAGGGCUCUGCAAGGGAUUGCACUCUGGCCUGAAGGAUUUGGAAGAUUAACAAAACGAGCUCUGACUGCGGUCGGAUCCCGAGACGCUGUCCAGGUGAAAGAUGCACAUCGCCCUGCGGUGAGCGCCACGGAGGAAGCUGUGAAGGAUGAGCCGUCUCCCUCCGCAGCACUGGGCCAGGGAGGCAUAAAAUCACACUCACCAGGAACUGUUCUUCAUUUUCUGCCAUGAAAUUUGGGAGGAUCAUCUUCAAUCAGUGUCGUUCCCAGGAGGAGAAGGAACCGGUUUUUAGGUUCACUCUGAUUUCACGCAAAAAGAAAGCUUUGAUGAGGCCAGCUCUCGGCAUCUCUGUCCACCUCAUUCACACUGCCCCACCUGAACCGCCCAUCACCUCCACCCCUCGGGCACAAAGCGCAGCCCACCCUAUUUGGGUGAGGUGGUCAUUCCUGUCCACCCAGUUUCCCCUUUGUUUCCUGGAGGUGCUCCUUUUCCCACACUUCCCUCAGCUAUUGGGGCUCCUUGAGGUGCCUUGUUUCUGCCUCCUGCUGCACAUAUGACAUCUAAGGGGCUCUGGAACACCCCCUCACAUACCAGGCACCACUGUGGGCCUUGCUCCUGAGCCCUGUCGCUCUCACAGAUGUCCCCUCCCUCCCUUAUUUCCUUUUUGCCUCACUUUUAGGGCCUGGGGAACUGUAAACUGUACUCUAGCCCAUGAUUCCAAGAUGACACUUUGCUAAACCACCUUAAGGUCCUUGACCUGAGACCCUGUCCAUUUUAUUCAAAUCUUUGGGACUUCUUUCUCAGGGCUUUUUCAGCAGGAUGGCCACCUGUCUGACCCUGUCCAUGACAAUGGACGUACAAUCUAAGACGUUCUGCAAGCCAGCCAUUCUUAAUCCUUGCCACUGCGGUCCUACUACUUGAAGCCACUCUCACGGGUCAUCAGCAUUGUUGUACUAACCACCACCUGAUCCAGCUGCCCAUGUUUUACUCCCCUCCCUUUGCCCCUCCAGAGUCUAUUCUUAGAGCAUCAGCAGAGAGGGACUCAUAAAACUUAAGUGAGAGCUGUUCAAAGCCAGCUGAUGGCUCCCUCUCCCUGGGAGGAAAAGCUUUGGCAUUCCAGGCCCUGCCUCACCCCACCCCACACUAUCUCUGACCUCACCUCCCUCCUAAUCUACUUCUUGAUUCCCCUUUGCUGUCUUCCAAUAUCCAGGCAGACCUCUACUUUAGAAGAAUGCCCUUCUCCGAGAAAUCCAUGCACGUUUUCAUUCUUUCUUCAUUCUCUUCCUUUCCUUUCCCCUUCAAAACAUUCCCUUUUCAUCUGGAUCUCCAGUAAACAUUCAAUUUUAAAUUGUAAAUUUUACCUAUUGCAUACUGACAUCUAUCAUUCUUAUGGCCCUUCCUCACUUUACUGUUUUCUUCACAGUACUUAUCAUUUUCUGAUGUACAAUAUAUUUUAGUUUCUUUUUGUCUGUUUCCUCCCAAUCAAGUUUAAGCAUCAUGAGGAUGGGAGUCUGAUCUGUAUCCCAACACCUAAUACAUGUCCUGGCACAUAGUGGGCCCUCCGUGACUAACUGAAUCCAGGUCUGGGGCCGAGUCACCUCCCCAACCAUCCCCUUGUAGUUUUAUUCCUCACUGUAAUGCACAUGGCCCUCGACUGGCCCCACAGGUUGCUCUUAGCAGGAAGAUGAUAAAGGUAUAGCCCCUUCUUCAGAGAAUAAUUCUAUCCAGACUUUUUCCAGUAUUUAUUUAUACCUAACUCCAACUAGAUUUUUCAUUACCAUGUAUAUCACUGACUUCAAGGGACUCCUCAGAGUGCGGAUGACCUUGUACACACCUGCUCUUCAUACAAGGGGCAGCACGGAGAUGAAAGAUGGCCCUGUUAUCAUUACAAGUUGUCAAGAAACCUCAUUGGCUUGAUCAAUCCAGACAACCUUCAUUCAGAGGGAAGAGACAAAUAAGUCACAUCACUUAUUUGACAAGGUGUCAAAAACACAAUUAGGUGUUUGGCUGAAAUGAAAUUUUCUAACAUUUGGGUUGGUUUUGUGUAGAAACAUGUCUUCCCUCCAAGACUACAAAGUACAUAUAUACCGAAUUACUUAGUUCCUUAGAGAAUAAGCCCAAAUUUGCCUUAUUUAAUUGUCUGAAAACCAGAAAAUAUGAUUUGUGUGUGGCCAUGGGGGAAACUCCUAACCAUUUCUCUGUGUUAGUGUUUGUGAAUUUUCAUAGUUAGAGUCAGAAAGGCUGCUCUUGAGGGUGAGAAACUAAUAUUUAUUGGGUGGCUACCCUGGCCGAGCACUUUGCAUGCAUACUGUUUCUUAUUUCUCAGAAUAGCCCGAUAAGAUAGGUUUUAUCAUCACAUUUUACUGAUGAGAAAACUGAGGUGCAGAAAGGUUCAGUAAGUCAAAAGACCUGAGAUUUGAACCAAGUGCUGGUUGAUUCCAAGUCCAGUUCCCUUUAGUGUUGCAAUCUGUAUCCUUCGUCUCAUUUUUCUCUUCUAUGACAGUUUUGUGAUCAGUUGGAUAAGAGCUGGGUUAAAAAUAGCCAAAUAUUCAGAAGGAACAAAAGCAGAUUAAAUGUCCAGUUCCUUCUCCUAGAUCCUUGGAGUGUGUCUGCUUUCUAGCUACGUACAUAGGCAUUGAGGGUCCAGUGAAUCUUUAGUUAAUAUCCAAGUUCAAUCAUUACUUGUUUAAUACUAUAUUAAGACUCAUCCAAUUGCUAGAGAGAGAGAUCCACCUUAAACUGUUUUAAGGAAUAAAGGAAAUGUAUUGGCCUCCUAAAAAGUCUCAUGUGUAGCACCAACUUCAACAAUGGUGGAAUAUGGGUGCUAAAACAUGGCACCAGAAAAAUGUGUCUCUUUAUCACGUCUCUUUUCUUUCAUAUCAGCACUUUGUCAUCACACUCCUUCUUUGAGUUGGCAAGCUGGUCUCAAUUAACCACUUGCAAUCCCAGACGAAAGAGACAUUUUCUCUCCUAGCAUUUUCAGAAAAGCCCAGGAGCUGAGGCUCACUGGCCUGGCUAGGGCCAUCCACCUAUCCUAAACUCACAAAAUGGCCAGGGUAACAGAACAAGUGGGCUAGCCAGAUGUGGGUUAUGAAAUGGAACUGGCUCUGCUAGUACAACAUGUACUAAAUGUUGGGGAAAUGGGUUCUCAAAGGUAAAUUAGAGUAUUAUGACCUAAAUAAUGGCAAAUAGAUACUGGAAAGGCAAAAACAAAAGUUGGUGGCUACCAAAUCAGCUCUGUGAUAUAGGGCAACCUGCAUAUCCUCUAUAUGUAUGUUUCCUCAUCUGUAAAACAAACAUACUGUGUAUCUCACAGCAUUUGUUGAAUAUUCAGUGAUACAAUGUUUGAAAUUGCUUAGCACAAUGCUUGAUUCUUUGUUAAGUCUUCCAAAUAGCAUUUUAUUAUUUUAUAUUAUAAUGCCUCAGUCCUCAUGACUCUUUUCCUACAUGCAACUGAAUUGCCUUAUUUUCCUCAUGCUUCCUGCUCCUUAUUUAAAUGACCUGGACUUUCUCAGUCUUUGAAUUUUUGAUGGCCAGAUGGUCCACAGGAAGCUGGAACUUUCAGACAGGCUGCUACAAAAGCUGUUGGAAGCCAUCAUUUUUCAACAGGGUUGUGUGUGUAUGAUUUGUGUAGACACAGUGUGAGGCAGAGGUACACAUCUCAUCAUCUUAUUAAUCCUUGAACAUGUUGC